ACAGUGGCUUGCCACUGGGUUCCUCAAGCGUCGUCCGGCCGUUGCACUAUUGGCUGGACCAGGCGCACCCCAA
rnacentral:snRNA from 1 species